rnacentral:rRNA from 1 species
UGGGGAAUUUUGGACAAUGGGGGAAACCCUGAUCCAGCCAUCACGCGUGUGCGAUGAAGGCCUUCGGGUUGUAAAGCACUUUUGGCAGGAAAGAAACGUCAUGGGUUAAUACCCCGUGAAACUGACGGUACCUGCAGAAUAAGCACCGGCUAACUACGUGCCAGCAGCCGCGGCAAUACGUAGGGUGCAAGCGUUAAUCGGAAUUACUGGGCGUAAAGCGUGCGCAGGCGGUUCGGAAAGAAAGAUGUGAAAUCCCAGAGCUCAACUUUGGAACUUCAUAUUUAACUACCAGGCUAGGGUGUGUCAGAGAGAGGAGGAAUUCCGCGAGUAGCAGUGAAAUGCGAGGAUAUGCGGAGGAACACCGAUGGCGAAGGCAGCCUCCUGGGAUAACACUGACGCUCAGGCACGAAAGCGUGGGGAGCAAACAGG